UACGUAGGGUGCAAGCGUUAUCCGGAAUUAUUGGGCGUAAAGAGCUCGUAGGCGGUUUGUCGCGUCUGCUGUGAAAACUCGGGGCUUAACUCCGGGCCUGCAGUGGGUACGGGCUGACUAGAGUGCGGUAGGGGAGACUGGAAUUCCUGGUGUAGCGGUGAAAUGCGCAGAUAUCAGGAGGAACACCGAUGGCGAAGGCAGGUCUCUGGGCAUUAACUGACGCUGAGGAGCGAAAGCAUGGGGAGCGAACAGG
rnacentral:rRNA from 1 species